CUUCAGUGAUGAUACGAUGACGAGACGGAACAGGACUCAGUCUGGCUCUGCAGGUUACCGGUUCAGGUCCACGUUCUGUGGUUCAGCUCCGGUUCCUCAGAUCAGGGAGUCAUUUCUACAUGAAGACACAGAGGCAUUUGUCUGAGAAGG
ensembl:snoRNA SNORD15 Small nucleolar RNA SNORD15